rnacentral:rRNA from 1 species
UACGUAGGGUGCGAGCGUUAAUCGGAAUUACUGGGCGUAAAGCGUGCGUAGGCGGUCCGCGAAGUCUGAUGUGAAAGCCCCGGGCUCAACCUGGGAACUGCAUUGGAAACUAACGGGCUCGAGUGUGGCAGAGGGGGGUGGAAUUCCACGUGUAGCAGUGAAAUGCGUAGAGAUGUGGAGGAAUACCGAUGGCGAAGGCAGCCCCCUGGGAUAACACUGACGCUCAUGCACGAAAGCGUGGGGAGCAAACAGG